rnacentral:misc_RNA from 1 species
GAUGAAGAACGUAGCGAAAUGCGAUAAGUAAUGUGAAUUGCAGAAUUCAGUGAAUCAUCGAAUCUUUGAACGCACAUUGCGCCCGCCAGUAUUCUGGCGGGCAUGCCUGUCUGAGCGUCAUUUCAACCCUCAUGCCCCUAGGGCGUGGUGUUGGGGAUCGGCCAAAGCCCGCGAGGGACGGCCGGCCCCUAAAUCUAGUGGCGGACCCGUCGUGGCCUCCUCUGCGAAGUAGUGAUAUUCCGCAUCGAAGAGCGAUGAGCCCCUGCCGUUAAACCCCCAACUUUCCAAGGUUGACCUCAGAUCAGGUAGGAAUACCCGCUGAACUUAAGCAUAUCAAUAAGCGGAGGA